CCAGUGUCCAAUUUAACAUUCUCAGUUUCAGUGGGGGAGAGAAAUAGAGAGGGAUUAGGGUUUCGGUUGGGUCUCUGUAAUGGAGAGUAUUACAGUUCUUAAUACGGAAAGUUGUAGUCUUGCAGUUAAGAAGGCAGAGGGGGAUAAACCGGCAAAGGUAUCUUCGCUUGGCAGUGCAGCAAGGAAAAGUCUAGCUGACAUAAGCAAUCAGCAGCAACAGGCUGGAUAUUUAAACCAAGAUGGAAAGCCUGGGCUGUCUGUUUCACUUUCGACCAAGGAAUAUAUUGAAAAGCUCCAGAGGGAAUAUAUGGCAAUGAGAAAACAUAUUGCAGACAGAGAUAAAAUCAUCGAAUUGAGAGGGAUGGAUUUGCAGAAAUUGCGAAUCAAUUUGCAGAAGGUGCAGCUGCAGAAUUUCCAACUUGCCCAAGUGAAUAGCCAAUUGUUGGCGGAGCUUAAUUCAGGAAAAGAUAGGCUGAAGAUACUGCAGCAUGAGCUUGCAUGCAAAGAUGGCUUGCUCAAGGCAAGAAAAUUGAAGUUGGAGGGAAAAGCAAAAACAAAGACUUAUCCAGUAUCUGAAAAUAAGGUGCAAAGAAUCGACUAUGAUGAGGGGGACGAUAAAUCUUGCAAUUCCAGCAGAAGACAGCAAUUGAAAAACAAAUCUUGCAACCCCUCUUCUGUUAAAGUGGUACAAGAUAGUGAGAAGGAUGAUAGUAAGAGGCCUCCUGCAAGAAGGCAGUCUGCUAGGUUUAAGACUCAAGAACAAGGAUCAGCUGAUAUUGUUCUCCAGAUUGAUGAUGCAAAACAGAGGGCUCAGAAACGCAGGCUUUCUCUCAGAAGGCAGUCCGAUAGGUUUAAACCUCAAGAGGCAAGACCAGCUGAAGCUUUAUUCGAGUUAGAUGAUGCUAAUGAGGAAGCUGAAAACAAGAGACUUUGCAUAGGAAGACAGUCUGCCAGGCCUAAAUGUCAUGAAGAGGAAGCACAUGAGGAUUUGUUUGAGAUAGAUGACUCCAAAUUUCCAGUUUCUCCUUUGUGUGAUCAAACGGCGAACACAAGUAGUCCCCCACCAUCAGAUUUAUUUGUUAAAAAAAAUCAUGAAGGAAAGAUUUCCUCUCCAGCUGAUGCUCAGGAAAUCAGAAGAUCAUCUAUUGGACGGCCCUUGCGUCGAGCAGCUGAGAAAGUUCAUUCCUACAAGGAAAGACCAAUUAAUAUAAAGAUGCGGAGAGAAAAGUGAGUGAAUUUUUUCCCUAGUAUCUUUUUACUAUCAUUCACGUAUUUCUCAUUCCUAAUGUAGGUCCUCUGAACUCAUUGUAUAUUGUUACGCCAGUACUUUAUUUUUGUCAUCUGCUGAUGAUAGAGGAAAAAUGUACAAAAAACAACUUUAAUAGUUCAUGGAGUUCUAUAUAACUAUAUACCUCUGUAAGAAUUCAAACACAUUUUGGCUAGAUGCAUUCUUAAAAUUCAGACAUAUAUUCUCAAGUCCUAUAUCAGUUGUAUGAUAUCUUCCACUUUGUUUAUUCAAAUACAAGACUUCUAAUUUAUUUCCUUUUGUGUUUGUGCGCCUUCUCUUGUUUACUUGUUCGGUGUGUGAGAAAACAUAUGAGAGUUGUAGUCAAUCACUAGUUGUAGUUGGAGAACUGAUCAUGGUAAGAUGAGUCAAAAUGCUAGUGUAUUUAUUCAACUUCAUUGAGAUCAUUUCUGUGAUUAAGAUGUAAAUCAUCUUCUAAAAGUUUCCAACUAGGCUCACCUAUCAGUCAAAUAACACUUGAAGCAAGUGAAAAGAUCAGUUGGAAGUUCGGUGGCUGCAGUUCUCUUAUUCAGAUUCUUCCUCUGGUAUUUCUCUUUUGAUUCUGUAUUUCUCUUUUGAUUCUUUUAUGUAGAUGUUUGAAGAGCUACCUACUUUCUUCCCCUAAUCAGAAGUGUAGGGUUUUGAUGAUGAAUUACUUGGUUGGUUGUAGCCUUCAAGGAUCAUGUUAUAGGGCUUGGCAAAAUUUGUAUAUGCAUGCACUAGGGAGUUCAUAGAUGCUUAGCAUCCAAAAUUUCAGAACAGAAGUGGCAGAACUGAGAUAACUCUCAUAACUACAAAAUGAGGGGAAGUGAAGGGUGGCAUACUGUUGAACCUCUUCCCAGCAAAAUGGUAUUUGUAUAUGUUGAUUGGUGAUGCUUUAGGAUCUGUCAUAUAUGUAAAGGACAUACCGGAUGUUAGUACUGGAAAUUGGAAUUUUGUUUGGGG